UACAGAGGGUGCGAGCGUUGUCCGGAAUCACUGGGCGUAAAGGGCGCGUAGGUGGCGACCCAAGUCGAUGGUGAAAGCUCGCCGCUCAACGGCGAGUCGGCCACCGAUACUGGGUUGCUGGAGCACUGUAGAGGCAGAUGGAAUUCCGGGUGUAGCGGUGGAAUGCGUAGAGAUCCGGAAGAACACCGGUGGCGAAGGCGGCUCACUG
rnacentral:rRNA from 1 species